AAGACUUUUUCAAAUCUGGGUGGAGGGAAGUUUUGGGUGUGAGUUCUUUGUUCUUUGUCUUGGGUCUGUGCCCUCUCGGCUCUGAGAGUGAUUUUUCUAUCUCCUGGCUUUCUAAUCUUCUGUUUCCAAGUUGUAAGUACAAGGAUAGUAAGACAAUAGGUUUAUAUUGUUUUCUUUUGUAUUUACAUGUGUGUAGUUGCUGGAAUGUGUUAAAUUGUAUUCUUUUGGAAUAAGGCUGUUUAUUCACUUUUUUUCUUAAGCAAUUGACCCUGUAUAUUGUCACCUUGAUACAGAGAUCCUUUUAUGUCCUUUUUUCAUUCUUUUUAUAUAAAGCUUUCUUUUUAA